CAAAAGGUAGUUUAAUGAAAACAUUAACUUUGGAAGUUAAAGAUGUUAACGACUCUUUUGA
rnacentral:tRNA from 1 species